rnacentral:lncRNA from 1 species
GGAGAAACCGCCCCGCACCGCCCGCCGGUCGUGUGCGUCGGUUGACUCCGCCGGGUCCCCCCUUGGUGGCAGAGGCGGGAUGCUGCGGGAGGGGAAAGCCGUGGUGGGGCGUGCGGGUACGGCGGUGAAGCCCUGUGCCGUUCGGCGUCGUUCGGGCUCGGGCUGCAUUGGCAAGAGUAUCGCCCUUGGACUGGAGCAAAACCAUCCAAGCCCAUAAAGACAAAGCAAGGCUUCAUUAUCCCAGAUGACCAUUUUGUCCAGGAGACAAGUUACAAGGCGGACUAUAAGAUCCCGGAGGUGAAGACCAGGUUCUCCCCCAACCCUUCUGCUGUUUUCCAGGCGCCGUCGCGGAUCCUCAACGUGUGACGCCGGGCCCUCCUCGCGCCGGGCAGCGCCACAGCGGUGCUUCCGACCGGACGUGUCACUAUGCAAUCUUCAGGAGGAGCGCUGGGAUCAGAGAACCGAUGUCAGCAGGAGCAGCUCCUGGGGCUGGGCGCUCUCCUUCUGCGAUUGUGCAGAUUGUGAAGCGCUCCAUUCAGAGCCAGCAAACACGCUCCGCUGUGCGCAGCGGCAGGGAGAAGUCACAAACAGGAGCGAGAACUGAUAGCAAACCCCCGGAGCAGCACGGAGCAGGGAGCACCUGCCUGACUUGUCAGCUUGCAGAGCUGCCUCCUGCACGCACCUCAGCACCAGAGCUCAGCACGGGAGGGCUGCUCUGCUCCGGACCCACAGGGUUGCUGGAGCCGCUGGCAGCUCCGCAGCGGCUGCGUUGGGGGGCUGUGUGUGCAGAGCGGUGAGCGCACGCUGCGCUUCGGAGGGUGUAGAAUACUGGUGGGUUGGAUGUAAAUAUUGCACCCGGAUUUUACCUAAAGCAGUUUGUGAUCCUUUAAGGAAGAGGACGUGCUUCUACUUUUAAUAAAUGUUAACUCUUUGCAUACGCAAGGUGGAAAGUGUUGCCUUGAAAUGCCUACGUUUCUGCCUGCCUAUCGGUGAUGUUAAUGUUAGUGGCUAGGAGCAACCAGAAGUGAAUGUUACUUAGAAACUCUUCUUAAAGAAAAACAUUAACAUGGAAUGUAUGACACCCCUCAUUGCUAA